rnacentral:rRNA from 1 species
GACAGAGGGUGCAAGCGUUAAUCGGAAUUAUUGGGCGUAAAGCGCACGUAGGUGGAUUAGUAAGUUGGAUGUGAAAUCCCUGGGCUUAACCUGGGAAUUGCAUUCAAUACUGCUAGUCUAGAGUACAGUAGAGGGAAGUGGAAUUUCCGGUGUAGCGGUGAAAUGCGUAGAUAUCGGAAAGAACAUCAGUGGCGAAGGCGACUUCCUGGACUGAUACUGACACUGAGGUGCGAAAGCGUGGGGAGCAAACAGG